rnacentral:rRNA from 2 species
CAAAUGAAUUGACGGGGGCCCGCACAAGCGGUGGAGCAUGUGGUUUAAUUCGAUGCAACGCGAAGAACCUUACCUGGUCUUGACAUCCACAGAACUUUCCAGAGAUGGAUUGGUGCCUUCGGGAACUGUGAGACAGGUGCUGCAUGGCUGUCGUCAGCUCGUGUUGUGAAAUGUUGGGUUAAGUCCCGCAACGAGCGCAACCCUUAUCCUUUGUUGCCAGCGGUCCGGCCGGGAACUCAAAGGAGACUGCCAGUGAUAAACUGGAGGAAGGUGGGGAUGACGUCAAGUCAUCAUGGCCCUUACGACCAGGGCUACACACGUGCUACAAUGGCGC